rnacentral:lncRNA from 1 species
UCCCCUGUUCACCAGUGCAGCAGCUGCAGCUCGUUGGGCACUAAUGAGGCUGGCUGCUGCCUUCUUCCCUCUGCAUCUGCUCUAAGGAAGGAUAUCCCAGCAUUUGGACCUGCUGUCCUUCAGAAAGAGAAAUGCAUCUUCAUAUAUCUUUCCUUGAGCAAGGGCUGGGAUUUGCUUUCCUUGGCUAUUGAUUUUAGAAGAGCUGGAGCUUGGAACCAUGAGCUGCUCUUAGGGCUGUAUGCUGAACUGAAGCAGAAGAGCUGACACCAUGUUCUUCUCCAGCUUGAAAGGCACUGUAUACAGAAUGAGUCUCAUGGGCACCUGAAACCCACCUGUUUGGCCUGGACAUACCUGCUGAUAUUGGCACUAUGGAUCUCACAUCAAGGUAAAUUAAUGGAAGUGUCUUACAACACCCUGGGAACCCAAACUGCAGCCCAUCUGUACUCAAAUCACAUCAGAGAUGUCUACCAGGGCAAUCCGUCAUCGAGCAUGAAGAGAGAUGUGGAUCAAAAAAGCGGGUGACUACAUUCAGCCAGAGGCAGCCUAAACCGUGAUAAGCAACUCCUCUGUAUGGACCAGACAAGGGGCUGCAGAUGCAGCUUUAAAGGUGAGAUCUGCAUACCACAAGAUGAGGACAAUAGGACCCAUCCAGACAGCUAAUGUGAUUCGCCAAUGUAAGCUGCAAGACUUCAGUUCUCGGUUGCAGUUGCAUUAUUACACCCUAUGCUCUGUAUGGGGAAACAAUUAAAACAGGUUUGGCAUACUAGAGAAAACACCAGAAUAUGACAUUGCUGCAUAACAUAGAAGACCUUCUCUUGCUUUUAUGUACAUAUUUGUUGCAAAGAAGAAUAAGAAAGUGUUUAAGGAAUAUAUUAACUCCCCUACAGUUCCUUAAAAUGAAAGUAUGGGCUAUGAAUUAUGUACACCUCUCUGUAAGGACCAAAGCCUGACAAAAAAAAGAAACAGAAGAUUUGCAUUCAGAGACGUCUCUAUUUUAAUAGAGAAGGAUUUUACCCAAAAGUACGUGCUACUGUGUGACAGACAGCUGCUUGACUGGCAAGAGGGAAGCAGAUGACUACCUGAUGAUGGCCAAUUUUCCUGCAGCUCAGCUGGAGGGCUUCUAGUCCAAGCCAAGUUGUCUUGGCUCCCUCUAUAGUCCAAAUAAAGAAAAAGGCACUUCUGGAGAGCAGCUGUUCUCAUACCACACGUUUAUCUUUGGUGCACUGAUGCCUCUUGAUCCCCAGCGUGCUGCAGAGGGGACCUUGAUGAGCAUCUUAGACAAGAACUCAAGUAUUUGACAGUCAACACCAGGUGAGAUGAACUAUAAUGACUGGUGCAACUGAUACACGUAGUUAAUGCCAAAGUACACCUGUGCCCAUUAAUUUAGUCACAUGCGUCAGGCUUCAAAAAUCCAGAUGAGCACUUGAGAUUUGAUUCAAGCUUUAUAACUAUCUGUUUCAUAUUUGAAUCAAAAGUGGCUAUAAAGUGAAAUGUGAGAUUCUCAUAUGUAUGUUACAGUGUUAUGAAAACAGCCAGCUGAGAGGGCAAAACGAGGCAGCGCCUUAUAACUUUUCCUCAUCACAGAGAGGCAUGAAGCAAGCCUGUAGUUUGCAUUUUGCCUACAGCCCUCUCCAAGAAAGAGGGUGGAUGGUUGUUUUCAAUUGUUCAGCUUUGGUGCAGGUCUUUGCAAACCAUAAUUUGAAAGUAAUUGUGGUAAUUACUGCAACUGAAAAAGUUAAAAUGUGCAAGUUCAAUUUUGCUCAGGUAAAGCUGUGCCAGUAAUGGCACCAUUCAUCAUUUUCUGUAAAAACAGUAACAGGUGUUAAUCUACACUCACUGAUGGGAGCAAUGUGAGUGCACAAUAAGCAAAGUGCCAAAAAAAAAAAAAAAAAAAAAACCCACCACCAAAGUACUGUCACCGAGAAAGAACUUCUAGUAAUGUCUUUGUAAUUGGACUCAACUGAAGAGUGAAAAAUUAUUUGACUUUUCAGUGAUGGAGAUUGCUAAUGAACCCAAUUUUUCUCUUCCACCUUGAUUAGCUUUCUGUAGGAAGAUCCAUUGUAGCUCUGCACAAUGAAGCUUGCAGGAAUAGACACCCAGCUGCUGUAAUUUUAUCAGCCCUCCCACUUACUGAAAAGUAAUCUUUUUUCUUUUUUUUUUUUUUUCUUCUUUGACAGGCUGUUGAACUAACUGUUACUAGGUUUUCAAACAUAAUGGAAAACAGUGGGAAGUAGAAUUUAAAUAGGACUUGAACAGCAAUUUUGCAAUUUUUCCAGCCUUAACAGAAACUUUAUAAGACUUCUAAAUGCCUCACACAUCCUGUCCUCCCAAGGUUCUGGAUGUUACUUGUGAGAUACCCUUGGACUAGGGUUGUGUCUUCUGCUCAUUGCUGUACAGAGCUAUCUUAUGGAGCAAGAGGAUAGCCAAAAUAUCCUGUGCUUUGUGUGUGAACUUACUAAAUGGCAUCCAAUUUAUCUACAGAGAACAUUUAAGCAAGCAGAAAAGUAUUUCCCAUUGUGUAUGCACAAUCAGACUGGUACACUGCACAGUUAGUUUCUGCUAUGAAUUCCAGAGAGUUCAAAAGGUAACAUUAGUUGCACCUAUGUGGUUUUGCUCAAGUAAAUGAGGACAUUUUCUCUGCACAGUGCCCACACUUUCGCUACUAGCAGCUACUUCUAGUUGUGCACAGCCAAGAGCCAUUUUCUUUCAAAAUAUGUUCCAUGAUCCCAAACUUUUCUGCGUGGACUUAUUUGGGAAAGAACAAAGCCAGCUGAUGCCCUUGCUCCAGUCGAUGGGGGUACAUACAACCCUGUCUGGAGGAGUGAAGUCAGGUGAGUGCAAUCAGGAUACAUGCAGUUGGAAACCUUCCUGCCUUUCCUCCCAUCAGGUCUUUGUCAUACUCUACUCUAAAUAAGAGCACAUGUUACUUAAGACAGUAAUGUGAACAUUUUGCAAGGCGAAUUGCUGCAGAUAUGUAAUGGCAGAAUGUGGAAGAGGAUAAGCAACAAAUGCUCUGCAUUGUCAGGCUCAUACCACAGAUUAUCUCCUAGAGAAUUACAUUACUCCACCUGGAUGCUAAUAAAUAUAUUCAAGUAAAUUCCACUAUAUUAGUAUGGCAUUUUUAGCUUAAAAAUGUAUUAAACUCAAUUCAUACAAAAGUAUUAGCAUUUCAAAACUAGACCUAUACAGAAAUAUUUUCCUUACCAAUUUCCUGAUCUGAGUCACUGCUUUUAAUUCAAGACAGCUGUUCCAUGACAGGACAGGACUCAACUGAGAUCCCAGUGAUGACUCCAUUGCCUUGGGUGUAGUAACGAAGACGUGGCCACUGCAGGGUUGUGGUCUGGUUUUUAAACAUAACAUGGCAAGUUAGUGAAACAUUAAAAUGCAAGAGAUCAUUAUAUUCAAGACUUUCUCUUCCCUGCUCCUUCUCCUAAAGGGGAAAUCAGACACACAGGAUUGUAGACUUCUGCCACCACUUGCCAUGGGUGGGUGCAGUUGGACACCAGCUUAAGGCAGAAAGGACAAAGCUGAGGAUGAGCUGAAAGUGCUUGCACCAGCCCCACGGCUCCAUGCUCCUCCAGUGUGUUUUUGAGUAGCAUCAUGCUUCUGAGAAUAUGUUCCUUAGAGGACUUGGUGAAAAAGAAUAAGAGCAUGAUAAGCAAGACCAAAUAAAUAUUACAUAAACUUAUUUUCAUAAGUAAAUCUCAAGGUACUUUACAAUGGAAGGUCCAUCUUUUUUCCUUUAUGCAACACGAGAAACUGAGGCACAGAGAAAGUACAUAAAUAAAUAUAAAUUAUAAAUUCUUCAGAUUUUGUCUUGAACAGAAAUCAGAAUUUACAAUUCAUUGGUUAUUCUGAAAUAAAAAAUAAAAUAUAAAAUAUUGAAAGGGAGAAAAGUAAACUGGAACUUUGUUGUCAACAUUAGACAGGAAGCUAGAAAAUGUUGUCACUUUAACCCAGGGAAUGUCCUUCGUCAUUGUAUAUUACAGUGUUAAAAAGGUAUAAUCAGUAGUACAGAUUAAAAGUCAAAUAACAGUAAUUAUAAUGAUGAAAUAUAUCUUUUAUUGAAAUAUGUCAUAUUAAAAAGAAAUAAAAUGAACAGUGUACAUUAUUCUCAAUUGACAAUUUUGUUUAUACAAUCAAAUUUCUGCAAAAUACUCCAACUAUGAAAACAAAGUUUUUUUUUUUAAUGGAAAGGGGUUUAGUUUAUCUUAAGACUUGAUGUGGUGACAUUAUGUUGGCUGUGUUUUAUGCUGUGGAUUUACUGUCAUACCCAGUGACGUCAGCACAGACCACGUCAUUAAGUUAGGGGUUCACCACUUCAACCAAGUGUUUAGCUUUCUGGGUUGAAGGUUUGGAGAAAUUUAUUUGUGGGAUAAAUGGAGAUUUAGGCUGUUGAAGCAUAAGUGUUGUUUAGAAAAUAUGUGCUAUUUACAUUGUGCACAAAACUAUAUGAGACACAGAUAUAAGAAUGUAUUACUAUGUAUAUAUCUAGUAUAAACACACCAUGAUUAAAUAUCAUUUGUUCUGUAAUUGUCAAUUGAGAAAAUAAAUUGUAAGACAAAAGCAUUGGUAAUGAUUGAACACAGACAGUUUAAUCAAGCAGCAACUUUUGAAGAAGUAAUUUUGUCCUAAAAGUCAAAAGUAAGUAAAGCCAUAAUUGAACUUAAACUGCUGAAGUUCAAAUUAAAGCACAUAUUCACCAUCAAUGACUGUGCCUAAAGACACAGGCAGUGAUACAGAGGCAGAAGUGAGAAGCACAGCUGGUUCAAGCACAGCUGGCACCUCCCUGGGAAAGUGCCAAUAAUCCCUCUGACACAUGCAAGGCUCCCAGUGCUGGAGAAAACCAAGAAUACAGGGCUAAAAUUUGGCAGCUACUUAUCAGCAUGUGAUUUAGUGACAUAAGAUAGCUAAGUACAUAAUUACCUAUAUAUAUAUUUUUUAAUUCUCAAAAUACUGCUGGUGCACAGGAGUUCUCAAUGGGAAUCAGGAAGAAAUCUGGGAGACUUUCCAAGUGCAGGAUUGGAAGGCUUACAUAGUCACAAUUAUGAUUUUAGAAAAACAGACCACAAAUAUGUCACGCAGACUGGAGAGUGUGAUGUAUAGAUAAACACAUACACACUGCAUUGAUUGUAUUUUGUAACAAAAGGGAUGAAGACCAGCAUGUGUGUCUUUGACAGGAUAGCUCAAACAAAAAUCACAUGUACAGCAAACAUUCCCCAUAAUUCUUGAAAUUAGGCAAAAGUGUGUUAAAACUCCAAGUUGCACAAGGACUUAAAAUGCUUGUAUGCAGUUUGGGAAAUGAUUGAAGGAAAAUAGAAAGUGUCUGUGACAAGAAAGCAAAAAGACAGCUUUGAGAUGAUGGUAACAUAUUUUUAGAGCAUAAGUAAGUUCUCUUAAAAUCAGUUCUCUCUAUGCUUGUUCAUUACUCCUAGUCAUAUUACUAGAAAUUCCUUCAACGUACCUGGGAGCACAAAUUAACAUAAUAUUAGCAAUGAAUCUACUGACAUAUUUCAAGUACUUGGACUACUGUGAACUGAGAGAUUGAGUCAAUUUUAAGAGAUCACUUAAAAUCAACUUCAGUACAUUGUUUCUCCUGGUGUGAAGUAAUGUGGUUAUGUGGUCUCACUCAACAAAGUCGUGCCUGCGUGGAGCAGCUGGUGUGCCUGAUCUUCACGUGUGGUCUCCCCUUGAUUUUGCUGGAUUCAGGAUCAUCUGCAGAGAGCACAUGUAUCUGGAUAAUGGAUUUGCCUCACUGAAAUUGCAGCCUUCAAGACAGACCAGCAGCUCAGCAGUGCACCUGGAUACUUUAGCAGGAAAUGAAGCUGUUUGGAAUACAAAGGAAAAAAAAAUCUGCAUGGGUCAUGUUUUUCAUAUGAAAAUAAUUAGAUAUUGUAGAUAUUCCUUCCCCUCUCUGGAUGAUUCUCACAGAUCAAUGAGUGGAGGCUGUCCUGAGUGGUCCAGGACAGUGGUCCAGGUUAAUAAGUACUUUGUUAAACCUAUUCACAUCUUUCCUUAAUCACAGAUCUUACAUAAACUCUGUUAUCAAUACUCGAUACUUCCAAAGGAGAGCUAAAACGAGAGAGAGUCUGUUUCAGAAAAGCACUGAAUGCACACAUACAAAUCACACAGAUGGGCUUACUGCUGACAAACAGACAAAAAUCAAAAAUUAAAUGUCCACAUUCCUUAUCAAGAAAAGGAAACAAACAAAUAAAAGAUCAGAAGAAGGGAUCAUUCAGUAUUUUUUCCCAAUAUUAUAUGAAUAGUCUAUUUGUAAGCCUGGAGAGUGAUGUGUUUAAACUGGAAGCAUAAAUGUAUAUUUCAAUACAAAAGCACAAGAACAUCUGUAUUUCUAACUGUUUAUGUCACAAUUUGCACAUAUUUUCUUAUGUCUUCCAACCAAAAUUUAUUCUACCUAUUUUUUUUAAUAAUAAGUUUCUAAGAAUAGGUAUAUUAAAUAAAAGAAAUUAUGUGUGGGAUGCAAAUUCUCAUUAUAAAAAUGUUUCUAUCCCUCUGGCUUUAGAGAUAACUUACCAAACAUAAAUUGCUUCAGUAAUAAGGUUUCAUGAAUACAUUACAUAUCCCUGCAUAAAUUUGUGGGGAGCACUUUUUGUCUGAAGCAUAGAAAACAUUCCACAAUAAAUACAAAUGUUCAUA